rfam:Biomphalaria glabrata isolate BB02 unplaced genomic scaffold LGTN_random_Scaffold2833, whole genome shotgun sequence.
UAAGCGGCUUUUUUUUUAAAAAAAGCCACACAUUUUAACAAAAUAUUAAAC